UUCUGAACAGGCUAGAGGUGGGACGAGAGGGGCUAGCCGUGGUGGCUGCUAUGGUGGAGCACUGGAGGAUGCAUAUCUGAUAUCACUUUAGCUUCUUGGAAUGUCUGAGGCUUCAACCUGAACGUAGAAGAAUCAAAUAUCCACGAUUACUUGUGGCCCUGGAAGGCUGACAUACCCUGUCCUAGCUUUUUAAAGCAGAUGACUUCUCUUACAAUCAGUCCUGUGAGCGUGGAAUGGCCAGCUGACUCUGAUGUAGAGUAUAUUUUGUACUAAGUGCAGUGACACAAUGACAUUCCUACAUGCUUAUCUCCUUAAAAAAUUUACUUUCAAUGGAUGAUUAUGUAAAGUCACUCCCAGCUCUUAAGAGGGAGGAGGAAUGGUGAGAAUAAACCUUCACCAGUAUGUGAAUUGGCAGUAUGGAGUAUGUGAAUUUCCCCUUGGGAUUAAUAAAGUAUCUAUCUACCAGAAUGUGUGCUGAUUGAGAUCUACUUCAUCCUGACAGUAAAACAGGUGGAAGUUCACCAGUCAUUAUAGUACUGUGGGCUCAGUGUUCAAUUGUUAACUUGAACUUUCCAAUGCAACUUGUCAGACUAAUAACCUUAGACAAAGAAAGCCUAAUUAAUAACAGACUUAUCUCUAAUCUCAAACACCAUUUCUGAAUAUCAGAGGCUGGGCCUUGAAGUGCAUCAUAGGAUGGACCAGACUCACUAAAACAGAAAAUGGAAGGAAUGAAUUGUGACUUUUUUACUUCACGGGAUCUCGGUGCACCAAUGACACCGCUUACAAAGGUCCAAGUGGAGGAGGAGAGAAUGACCUACCAGCGGACGCAAGUCAGUUUCUGCUUCUGAACACCUUUUGAUAUACAAGGAAUGCAAGCGUUAAGCUGAAGUGGCCAUUCUAAAUUAACCCUGUUUGUGUAAGUGAGACCAGAGAUGGGCUGUUGCCAGGAAGGGCCUUGGUUCCUGAGACCCUAAACUGAUCAAACUGGUUUCACAAUGGUCCAGGGGGAGAUCAAAGACACCCGCCAACAACUCUUCAAAAUGAAGCACGAUUACAAGAUUUUACGCAAGAAAUGUUAGUUAUGUUGCAAAAUGUAACACGUCACAAUAAUGAUUUGUUAAAUUCAAUUCAACAAACCUUAAAUCAGCUCAACCAGCUGAAUAAUGACAAACACAAAUCAGCAGAUUUAUGACUGACUAAGUGAUAUGGAGGAUAUCAUUUCAUCAUAUGUGGACCUAAAACUCAUUGUAAGCAUAACAUUUGUGCUGAAGAUGUGAGAUGAGCCUUUGCAAAACCAAAUUGGCCAAAUGGCCAUCAGCUGUUGCCAUCAGAUCAUUCGUCCUCUGUUUGUCACUUGUGGUGACGUUAAGCUUGAACAGUAUGGACACAGGCCAAACCUGUAAAGUCCAUCCAGAGAGUGACUGGAUAGGCUGGCAUGCCUGAGACAUCUUUAACUUUAUUCUUGAAUACAUCUGUAGAGAUGUACUGCGAGGUGAAUCUUGAUUACGCCGUGUACUUGUAUUCCAGUACAGCCCAACACUGGCUGUUAGCUGUCAACAAUGCAGCCUUUCUCAGCCGCAGUACAAGUGUUUCAGUAGUAUGAAGCGCAAUAUCAUCACUAUAUGCGAAAUAUAGACAAACUAAGAUUUUUGGAUUGGGCAAUUGAGUUUCAAACCCAAGUUUAUCAUAAAAGAAGAGGUCUGCUUCUUAAUUUAAGCGCUGAAUGACCAUGGUAUCAGCAGGAUUUUGGAAAUUAAAGGAAAAAUAAGUAAGAAAAACAGAAGAGUAAACACACCUUUUGGACCACCGGCAGACGCUCAAUAACAAUGGCAUUCUUUCCAGCCCCACCUGAUGACUUCACUUCCGACUUCAAGUUUUUCAUGUCAUUUCCGCCAUUCAGUUGUUUCCCCAUGUGGCGGACAGCCCGGUCCCAUGCCCAGCAGGGACGCCCCUGCUGCAUCUGUUCCGGGGGAGCAGCCAUGGACAGCUCAAUACCUCCCCUGGGAUGCUUGGUGGCAGCCUCCCAGGCGGACGGUGAUCCCCCAACCUGUCGCAUGGCUCCAUGGGAGAUGGAGUCCUCCACAGCCUGGUUGGGGGCUCGGAUGGCCACUAGGGGGAGCUGCAUGGAGUCAGCAGCCCGGCUGGACGAAUCUUCAGCUCCACCUGGAAGUGCAAUUAGGACCAGGUGGUGAAGCACCUGGAAUGCUUCCGGGUGGACUAUGAAAAGGGCCACCACUCGGGGCCAGAGUCAGGAGGAGGAGUGGUGGUAAAAGGUGAGUGUACUGGUGCUUAAUAGUGCUUGUGGACCGUGUAUUGCCAGUGGGUCACGGGGAAGACGUGCGCCCACGGGUGAAGAAAAUAAAAGUCUUUGUUUAUUUGGUACGUGCCUCUGUGUCGGGUCAGGUGCCUAUAUAG